rnacentral:rRNA from 1 species
UGUAUCGGAACGUGCCCAGUCGUGGGGGAUAACUGCUCGAAAGAGCAGCUAAUACCGCAUACGACCUGAGGGUGAAAGCGGGGGAUCGCAAGACCUCGCGCGAUUGGAGCGGCCGAUAUCAGAUUAGGUAGUUGGUGAGGUAAAGGCUCACCAAGCCGACGAUCUGUAGCUGGUCUGAGAGGACGACCAGCCACACUGGGACUGAGACACGGCCCAG